UACGUAGGGCGCAAGCGUUGUCCGGAAUUAUUGGGCGUAAAGAGCUCGUAGGCGGUCUGUCGCGUCUGCCGUGAAAACCCGAGGCUUAACCUCGGGCUGGCGGUGGAUACGGGCAGACUAGAGUGCGGUAGGGGAGAUUGGAAUUCCUGGUGUAGCGGUGGAAUGCGCAGAUAUCAGGAGGAACACCGAUGGCGAAGGCAGAUCUCUGGGCCGUAACUGACGCUGAGGAGCGAAAGCAUGGGGAGCGAACAGG
rnacentral:rRNA from 1 species